AUACGGAGGAUCCGAGCGUUAUCCGGAUUUAUUGGGUUUAAAGGGUGCGCAGGCGGGAUGUUAAGUCGGCGGUGAAAUUUUGCAGCUCAACUGUAAAAGUGCCUUCGAUACUGGCUUUCUUGAGUGUGGAUGAAGUAGGCGGAAUUUGUGGUGUAGCGGUGAAAUGCUUAGAUAUCACGAGGAACUCCGAUUGCGCAGGCAGCUUACUAAACCACUACUGACGCUCAUGCACGAAGGCGUGGGGAUCAAACAGGAUUAGAUACCCUGGUAGUCCACGCAGUAAACGAUGAUUACUAGUUGUUUGCGAUACAAUGUAAGCGACUGAGCGAAAGCGUUAAGUAAUCCACCUGGGGAGUACGUUCGCAAGAAUGAA
rnacentral:rRNA from 1 species